AUAUUUAAGCAGAUAUAUAAACAAGAGAACAAUUUCACUUCCUUAGGACCCACAACAGAGGAAAUGGCAAUUAGCAAAUAGCAGUGUCCUCGGCUUCCCCUUUUCAAAAUCUCUGGGCCACGCUUAUUGGUGCCACUGUGGACAGCCUCUGUCCUCAGAUCCAAGUGCAACCAUCAAUUUCCAAGAGGAACUGCUUCUGAGUCUCCUGGAACAAGACUCCAUGCUGCUGUGGAUUUGCUGCUGGUUCUAGUUCCUGGCUGAGGAGAGUCCUGUAAGUUCCUCUUUGUUUCUUCUUCAUCGCCUUGGAGUUAUAGUGCCCGGCACAGGAGCCUGGGGAAACUUGUACCAAUCCUUCUCCCCACAGCUGCAGGGAAGGGUCCCCCUUUCCCCUAGGCCCAGUCAUUCUAGUCCUAUCUACCUCUCUGUUCCUGGCACCUUCCCGCUCUGCUCUGCUCAAGAGUUGACUUUCUGACCUCUUCUGCAAAAGGAGGAGGACGCACCUGACAAAGGAAAGACAGGACCACCAUCUUCCAAGGCACAGUGGUAACAAUGACAUGCAAAGCAUCCCUCUACCCAGGAACAGAGAGAGCAUGAUGAGCCUAUGAAAGAAUAUGGACUACAAAUUUCAUUUCAAAUGCUAUUUAAGAGACACAUCCUGGAAAGCACCAGUGCUGUACCCUGAACUUGAGUCCCAGUGACCCUGUGGUCUCUUCAGGUGAGGGAGAGGAGGGUCAGGCUUCAGAAAUCACCUGCUCCUGAAUGAGGGGUAAAAUUCAUGAGGAAAAAGCGAAACUGUCAUCGAAGAAACUAUGAAUGGAUAGGUUUUGUGGGGAAAGUGAGUGCAAGAUAUCAACAGGCACCCAGAGGAUGGAAAAUCAAGGAGUGAAUUGAGUGUCUACUGUCUAUUGCAGACUGGCUGAUUCUCCAGGUCCCACACUCUAUCUUUGAAGGAGAUAGAGUGAUUCUGAGCUG